GAUGAAGAACGUAGCGAAAUGCGAUAAGUAAUGUGAAUUGCAGAAUUCAGUGAAUCAUCGAAUCUUUGAACGCACCUUGCACCCUUUGGCAUUCCGAAGGGUAUGCUCGUUUGAGUGUCAUUGUACUCUCACACUCUCCGAUCCUAUGGAUUCGGGGAGCGGUGGACUUGGGUGUUGCUGCCUUUCCUUGUGGCUCACCUCAAAUGUGUCAGUGCACCUCUUGGUUGGACAUAGUACGGCGUGAUAAGUGUCUUCGCCGGCACCUCGCAAGAGGGUGGCCGAUCGGGAGCUCUGUGCUUUCAAACCGUCUUCGGACAAUUUCUGACAACUUGACCUCAAAUCGAGUAGGACUACCCGCUGAACUUAAGCAUAUCAAUAAGCGGAGGA
rnacentral:misc_RNA from 1 species